ACCGGGAUGGUCUAAUCGGUUAAGGCGUCGCCCCGGACAGGCGAAGGUUGCGGGUUCAAUCCCCACUCAUGGCC
rnacentral:tRNA from 1 species